rnacentral:rRNA from 1 species
GAUGAACGCUAGCGGCAGGCCUAACACAUGCAAGUCGAGGGGGAAGUUACUUUCGGGUGACUGAGACCGGCGUACGGGUGCGUAACGCGUAUACAAUCUGCCUUUCACUGGGGGAUAGCCCGAAGAAAUUUGGAUUAAUACCCCAUAGUAUAUAGGGACGGCAUCGUUUUUAUAUUAAAGCUUAGGUGGUGAAAGAUGAGUAUGCGUUCUAUUAGCUAGUUGGAGAGGUAACGGCUCCCCAAGGCGAUGAUAGAUAGGGGUUCUGAGAGGGAUGUCCCCCACACUGGUACUGAGAUACGGACCAGACUCCUACGGGAGGCAGCAGUGAGGAAUAUUGGACAAUGAUCGGAAGACUGAUCCAGCCAUGCCGCGUGCAGGAUGAAGGUCUUAUGGAUUGUAAACUGCUUUUGUAAGGGAAGAAUAAGGGCUACGCGUAGUUUGAUGACGGUACCUUACGAAUAAGCAUCGGCUAACUCCGUG